CUACCAAUGUAUACUAUGAGUUUCUUUGCCCAGGGAGUCGGGAAGACCCUCGGCAAGAAAUGGAAGCAAAUUUGAAAGAAGAAAAACCCAUAAAUAAUAAUAAUAAUAAUAAUAAUAAUAAUACUAAUAAUACUAAUAAUAAUAAUAAUAAUGAACGAACUAGUGAGUUUAGUUUAAUGGCCUACCAAUGUAUACUAUGAGUUUCUUUGCCCUAGGAGUCGGGAAGACACUCGGCAAGAAAUGGAAGCAAAUUUGAAAGAAGAAGAAAAACCCAUAAAUAAUAAUAAUAAUAAUAAUAAUAAUAAUAAUAAUAAUAAUAAUAAUAACAACAAUAAUAACAAUAAUAAUAAUAAUAAUGUACCACAAAAACCACAACUCUCGACAUUGAACAAAAACUACAAAAGCAAAGAUAUAUAAAUAUAUAUAAGAUAAAUAAAGUGGGGCCCUUCAGAAAACCUCAAGGGCCUGUUCCCUCAUCCAACCCCUAUUUGCUACUUUCAGAUCAUCUUUUAUAAUAUUCCCACCCACUUACUCCCAAACCCUCUACAAUAAUGCUGCAAGGCAGCACUUCAUUUCCCGCCCUCACAGCCACACUCACAUUCUCUCCCUCCACUCAAAGAGUUUAAGUGCUAUUCGGGAUGUAGCGAGAGACAGUAAUUAAGCAGAAACGAAACAGCAGCUUAGGGACGCCUCCAAUGUGUACUAGAAAUAGCAGCCAAGUAUCACUAGAGUUGAGGCAAUCUGCUGAGAUUUAUUUCUUUUGCAACCUACGUGGUCUCGGGUUCGUUCCCAGUUCGCUGCCCCUUCGGCAAAUGUCUUCCAGUAUAGCCCCGAGCUGAUCAGUGGCUUGUGAGUGGACUUUGGAGAGUGAAACUGAAAGAAGCCCGUCGUCUGUGUGUACAUAUAUAUAUGUGUAUGUGUGUAUGCGUUUACGUGUUAUGUGUGCGUGUGUGUGUGCAUUUUUGUCUGCAUAUAUAUAUGUAUAUCUUUUUUUCUUUUUUUCUCUCCUUGUUUUUUUCUGUGUCCCUUUCUGUCGAAGAGCGUAGGCUCGAAACGUAAAAGACUUUUUCUAUUCCUGAGCGUUAUACUAAUACAUCUGUUUGUUUGUACUCCACCUGCCUUAGUCUUUUGUUUAUUUUCGUAAACUUUCCCUUUAUAUAUAUAUGUGUGUGUAUAUAUAUAUAUAUAUAUAUAUAUAUAUAUAUAUAUUGUCAGGUGUCCCAGAUAAACCAACUUCACGGCAGGAGGUGCAGAUGAGGGCAGCUGCAUCAAACUCUCUCAUGCACCAAAUAUCAAUGUGCAAAUUUCCAUACACGUGAAAAAGGUACCCACUACACCCGUAGAGCUACUGAACGUAUGUAUAUGUAUGUGCAUAUAUAUGUAUGUGCAUAUAUGUAUGUGCAUAUAUAUGUAUGUGUGUAUACACACACGCACACACACGAGCAAAUUAGAAUGUUCGCUAGCUCUACAGGUGCAGUGGUUGCCUUUUUUACCAGUAUGGAAAUUUGUACAUGUUUUCACAAUGUCUUUUGCACGAUUCUUUUGUCCAUCCUCUAUAACUUUAGAUGGAGAGACACUAUAAACCCUUUUUCUGUUUUUGUAAAUACUUAUUCAUACUUUGAAGUGUAACUUUUUGCUGAUUUUGUCGGAGUUAUUGUCGCAGUUUUGUCUAAUUUGUGACUGUAGUUAAAAAUGAACACGUCAUAUUAAAUCUAAAUACAUGACAGAUUAAAAGCCGAACAGCUGUAUCUUCUUCCACCAUUCGAUCCUUUGGUCUUUGCACCCACAUGAAUUUUUACCCUACCCACUCUUUCAAAUUGGCGGUGUCGUCCUCUUAAGGAAGCACUUGUUGGUCUCGGGUGUUUUUGUAAUUCUUUUGAGUCAAACUUAGUUCUUUUCUGAUUUGCCGGCUCUUUGAUAAAUCUCCGGGCGAAGAAGUACAAUCCUUUGUAACAUACCGUUGCCACGUGUCUUACUUCUAGUAGAGUCGACUUGUAUCAAAUACCUCGGUACAAGCAAAAUGUAGCAAAGAAACAGUCUGGUUAAAGCGUCGGACUUAAUGCACCGCAAUAUUUGAGUAUUUAUUCUAUGCUUCCAGUUUCUGAGUUCAAAUGCAAACUGGAACUCCGAGUUACGACGACCAGGGUUCCAAUUGUGUAAUUAAUGUGCUAGUGACUGAUUACUUCUCAGAAAUGCGUACUCUUAACGUAGUUUUCAAGGAGAUUCAACGUGUAUGUCCUUUGAAAUACAGAUACCGCUCAUUUUUUUUUUUGUCAGCUGCGUCGGCUGGAGCAACGUGAAAUAAAGUGUCUUGCGCAUGGCUGCAACGCACCGGUGGGGAUCGAACUCAUGACGAUCAUGAGCAGAAAACCUCGAACCAAAAACUAUAUAUAUAUAUAAUGUGUGUGUGUGUGUGUGUGUGUGUGUGUGUGUGUGUGUAAGAUCCAAGGAUCGAAGUGUAGGAAGAAGGUUAGCUUCAAACAAACCGUAGAAAAUAUAAAAAUACAUUUCAGGAACAAUAGAGAUUUAUUGAGAAGGAAGAUUGUGAAUUUUUUUCCGUAUCGAAGUAUGGAAAGCUGUAAACAAAAAAAAAAGGUUAUAUAUUACACGAAAAGCCGGCAGAUUUGCCAUGUAUGCGAAUAAAAACCCAAGAGUUAAGGAAUUGAGUAGAUAAUAUCCGGGCUACAUAUGUUUCAAAGCGAGUAAAUAUCCAAGUGAGGUGUAUACCGCAGGGUACGCUUCAGGCUAAGUGGAUCUUGACCCUAUGAUACUCAAACAGCUAAAUAUUGCAAAUUUUCAAUUACCAAAGAACUUGCAAAGGUACCACGAUGCUAUAGAAUGUAUUACUCUUGAUGCCAACAAGAUUUCAAAAUGAAGGUAUUUCAGGCUGCAAGUUUUUCGUAAGUCCAGUGACUGGUUCUCAGAUAAAUCACCAGAAAUUCACGAUCUACAUUUAGAAAAAGAAAACUUAGGCAAUACACUUCUUUCUCAGUGUUUGAACUCCAACUCAGACGAAGCUUAGAGACUGCUGCAAGGGAAGUGCAAACUGCUCUAAGGAAAAUUAAACAGCAAUGGCGGAUUGACAGGACAAGGGUGGGGGCGCAAGACGGAGCUGAUAGAAAAGAUGCCAAGGGUUUGUACUCUUAUGUUAAGGAGGUAUAUGGCCUCAAAUAUAUAUAUAUAUAUAUAUAUAUAUAUAUAUAUAUAUUUAUUUAUAUUAUAUUGAGGGUACUACUAUUCGUAGAUACCAACACGCUAAGAGGGACCAAUGCGGUCAAAACUACUAAAAAUAAACAAAAUUUUACCGAAUGCAAAACUUCAAAACACAUCAUUUAAAAAAGAAUUCAGUUACAUAUCACAUGUGAUUUCGCAUUCAAUGCAGAAUAUGCAUUUCAUGUUCGUCAGUGCAACAAACUCAAGAAAUAUAAGAGAAAACAUAACAUUACAAGCUCGAUAGCCAACCGUAGAAUUCGUCGUAGCAUGUACGAAUGUUUAUCUUUACAUAUCUAUGAAAAUGGCGGGCUUAUUCGCAAUGCAUUUCGGUAACAAAUUGUCUAGUCGGAAUAAAAAUUCAGUAUUGAACUAUUCCGGUGAAAAAUAUAAAUUAACAAUUGAGGAUAAAAUCUUUAAAAGAAAUUAUCAGUAGUCAGCGUGAAAAACCUCGUAAGAGAAAAAUUUACGGAUUUUUUCUCUUACGAGGUUUUUCACGCUGACUACUGAUAAUUUCUUUUAAAGAUUUUAUCCUCAAUUGUUAUAUAUAUAUAUAUAUACAACUGGCUUCUUUCAGUUUCCGUCUACCACAUCCACUCACAGGGAUUUCGGAAAAGAAAACUUAGGCAAUACAAGUGCAGACUGCUCUAGGAAAAUUACACAGAAAUGGCAGAUUGACAGGACAAGGGGGCGCAAGACGGAGCUGAUAGAAAUGAUGCCGACGGGCUUCUUUCAGUUUCCGUCUACCACAUCAACUCACAGGGAUUUGGUCAGCCCGAAGCUAUAGUAGAAGAUACUCGCCCAUCAUGCCAGCCUGUGGGACUGAACCUAGAAGUAUGUGGCUGGGAGCAAAUAUCUUAGCUUACACCCACGCAUGUUUUCUUAAGGUCCUUUUGAUAGGUAAUUUCUGUUGAUGUUGUGUAAACGAACGCUUUUCGAUGGAUGUCAAGAUGGUGAAUUUGUCAUUUUAGCGAGUAGUUUUCUUUCUUUCGUUCAUAUUGUUUCAUUUUAUUUCGUUUAUUUUUCGUUGUAUUUCUCUUAAAAAUUUCUUUUAUCAGAAUUGAGAAAGAUAAAAGAAAUCAGAAUUCGUUUUUAUUUAUUCGAAAAUAAUUUUGAAGUGAAAUAUUUAGCGUAAUUCGCUUCUAUUUUUUAAUUUAUUAAAAAAUUUUUUGGUUAGUAUCUCUUAAUGCUCAUUUUCAAAUAGAAGAAGCCAUAUUGAAUUGAUUUUGAACGGUAAAAGAUAUUUUGGCAAAUUUAAAAUGAGAAAAAAAAAAUGAUCUCUCAAAGAUAGAUUAUUUAUCUAUCCCGGGUAUUGGAAUAGAUGUGUCCAAACACUCAAAAAGUUUUCUUCUUCUUCUUCUUCUUCUUCUUCUUCUUCUUCUUCUUCUUCUUCUUCUUCUUCUUCUUCUUCGUCUCUAUAUAUUUUUCAUAAGUGUAUGAAAUUCCGCAUGUAGAACACACAUUUGCAAAAAUUAAUCUGGUAAUUCCAAUAAAAUAAAAAUGCUAUGUCGGGUUACAUGGGGUGAUUAAACCAGUGAUCCGCCGAAACACGAAAGGUUUUAGGUGGUCGUGGGAUGUGCUAAAAAUAACAUUAAAAUCGCCCUUAAAUCAUACAAAAGAAUUUUGUUGUUUUUCUUCAUAAUCGUAUGAAUUCCCGUGUGAUGAACAUAAAUAAACAAAAAUUUUCUCAAAAUUUCAAAGCAUAAAAAAUGUACGAGGGUAUAUAUGGGAUUCUUAAAACGAGAAAGGUAAGAGGUGGUCGUGCGAUGCGCUAAUUAUAACAGCUAAAUCACUCUUAAUUUACACACACGGACAAAAUAAUAGUUUUGUUUUUUUCUUUUAUGUGUCAUAGUCAUAUAAAUUCCCUUGUGUAGAACACAAAUUAGCAAAGCUUUUCUGAAAAAAAAAAGGAUUACAUGAGAGCUUAAACCAGAAUUCCACUGAAACGAUGAAGGUAACAGAUAGUAAUAAUAAUAAGAAGAAUAAUAAUAAUAAUAAUAAUAAUGAAAUUAUUGUAUACAGUGCUCAGGUGCACCACAACUUGUCAGAAAGUGCAUAUAAAGUACAUGCAGUAAUGCAAAAAUGUCUGGAAAGCGAACAAUGUAUGAAACAGAUACAUGCUUGUGUGUGUAUGGAGGGGAGAAAAUCAGUUGUAGUGUUGGCAAAUCUCAGGAAGCAUGGAAGUUUUAAAGGAUGCAGUGCUCCGACAACUAACAACUGAUGCCGGCAGUUUGUUCCACGCUUCAGCAACUCUCAGCGUAAAAAAAUGUUUCCUGAAGUCAUGGGAGCUGUGCUGUUUUCUUACUUUGUAAAUAUGUCCACGGGUGCUAGAUGGGUGGAGUUUGAAAAGGUGGUCAGAGUUAUUGUUUGUACGAUGGUUGAUAAUUUUAUGGGUGUCUACCAAGUCUUGGGAUGCAUUAAAUAUAACAGCUAAAAAAUAUAACAGCUAAAAAAUCGCCCGUAAAUCACACAUACACACAAAAUAAUAUUGUUUUUCUUAUUUAUUUUUUUCUAAUUGUAUGAACUGUCGUGUGUAGAAAACAAAUUUGCAAAUAUGUUCUGAAAAUUCAAAAAAGAAAAAAAUUAAAAAAUUACGAGUGGUUUCGUGGGGUAUAUAAACCAAACAUCCGCCAAUAUUUUUGUAUACGUAUAUAUUUAAUGUCUAAAAUAACCUUUCAUCGUAGCCCCGAAUUAAAAAUUAAAUAAAUAAAUUAUUAUUAUUUGAGGGAAUAUAAAUCCAAACUUACAGGGAAAAAAUUCAAUUUAGAAAUAUUAAAUCAAAUUUCACACAAUAUAAUAUAUAUAUGUAAAAUUAGAAAAAAAACACCUUUUUAUAAUUAUAAUUAUUUAUAGAAACUUCCUCAAGCAUAGAAUUCUAAAUCGUAACUUAUUAGAUAAAUAAAUAAUUAUUAUUUGAGGGAAUAUAAAUCCAAACUUACAGGGAAAAAAAUCAAUUUAGAAAUACUAAAUCAAAUUUCACACAAUAUAAUAUAUAUAUAUUAAAAAAUUAGAAAAAAACUACCUUUUUUAUAAUUAUUAUAAUUAUUUAUAAAAUCUUCCUCAAGCAUAGAAUUCUAAAUCCGUAACUCUGGUAUUUUGCAGAGGAAGAGAUGAAGAAAAUCCGUAACAAGCGAGGUAAGUGGGUUUACGUCCAUAUAUCCGUAUCUUUCUCACUGCUCAUUUCGUUGACGCAAAUACUGUUCGUUGCUCUUUUCCGAUCAAAAGCCGAUCCGUG
rnacentral:lncRNA from 1 species